rnacentral:SRP_RNA from 4 species
CGUCUGGGUCCUGCGCAAUGGGAAUUCAUGAACCAUGUCAGGUCCGGAAGGAAGCAGCAUUAAGUGAAACCUCUCAUGUGCCGCAGGGUUGCCUGGGCUGAGC